UGAAUCCUCUUUCAUAUGUUUCCCAUUUGCAGAGAAAAUAAGAACCUGACAGGAACUGCGAGAUAUGCUAGUAUGAACACUCACUUGGGAAUUGAACAAAGUAGAAGAGAUGAUCUCGAGUCUCUUGGUUACAUCCUUAUGUACUUCCUCAAAGGAAGUCUUCCAUGGCAAGGGCUGAAAGCUGGAACCAAAAAA